rnacentral:lncRNA from 1 species
CUCCCUAGGAUGGUUCCGAGGAUUAAUUAUAACAGUCACCAUUUAUUGAGUUUAUUGCCAGUCUACAUGUUCGCUAAAGGACUCUCCAUGUCUUACACCUGAAACCCUCCCACCAGCCUGGGAGCCCGUUUUACAGGUGAGAAAAUGGAGGCACAGAGAAGGUGGGUCAUUUUCCCAGAACACACAGCUGCUAAGUGGUGAAGUUGUGAUUUGAAUCCAAACAGUGUGGAUCCAGAUCCCGUGCUCUUAAUGCGAGCUCUAAAUGAGGCUAGAGGAGUGAACGGUGAGCCCCUGGGAGGUAGGUGCCUGGACUCUGGAGUCCCUUCUCAGCAGUCGCCAUGUAUAACUAGGAAGCACUCGCAUUUAACUGGAUCAGUAUGUCCCCAGACUGAGCUUCUUGGGGACAGGAUGUUGGAUGAAUUAAUUAACGAAUGAAUGAAUCGGGCAAGGGAGACAGAGUUGGGGUUAGUGAUUACAACAGGAGGAAGCCUUCCCCCGCUGGACCUCAGUUCACCCAGGUGAGCAAUGUGUGCACUUCACUAAGUCUCUGUGACUCCUUGGCGGGUAUAAUUGAGCGGCGUUGGAGACAAUCCUGGGUUCAAAUCCUAGCUGUGCCGCCUACUGGCUGUUAGCCUCCCUGAGCCCCAGUUCCCACGUCUGCAAAAAAAAUGAGAGUAGCCAACAUUGACGAGCACUUACUUAUACCAAGCUCUUAAGCGCUUUGCACGGCUUAUUUCCUUUAAUCUUUGCAACAACCCAAAGUGUAAUAGUAAGCACAGGGUUUUUGCGUGAUACCCGGUAGGCCUU